UACAGAGGGUGCGAGCGUUGUCCGGAAUCACUGGGCGUAAAGGGCGCGUAGGCGGCUCGGUAAGCGUGCGGUGAAAGCCCGGGGCUCAACCCCGGGUCGGCCGUGCGAACUGCAGAGCUGGAGCACUGUAGAGGCAGGUGGAAUUCCGGGUGUAGCGGUGGAAUGCGUAGAGAUCCGGAAGAACACCGGUGGCGAAGGCGGCCUGCUGGUCUGUAGCUGACGCUGAGGCGCGACAGCGUGGGGAGCAAACAGG
rnacentral:rRNA from 1 species